rfam:Ictidomys tridecemlineatus contig020125, whole genome shotgun sequence.
GAGUCUGAACAACAUAGGGGGAUCCUCUCUCAAAUAAACAGACAUUCGGCUGAUCUGGCUGGCUAGGCCGAUGUCCCCUUCCUUCCUUACCGCUCCUUGUGCGUCCCUCCCAAAGCUGCAUGCUAUGUCAAAGAGAACGACCUUCCCGGAUAGAGGAGGCCCAUUCUUUGGUAAGGGUAUAUGAGUAGCUGUGCUCCCCUGCUAGAACAUCCAAACAAGCUCUCAAAUAAACAAACAACAAACAAAAUAAUAUCAACAUCAGCAAAAAUUAGUCUAUGU